rnacentral:rRNA from 1 species
AUUGAACGCUGGCGGAAUGCUUUACACAUGCAAGUCGAACGGCAGCACGGGCGCUUGCACCUGGUGGCGAGUGGCGAACGGGUGAGUAAUACAUCGGAACGUACCCAGUCGUGGGGGAUAACGUAGCGAAAGUUACGCUAAUACCGCAUACGUCCUGAGGGAGAAAGCGGGGGACCGUAAGGCCUCGCGCGAUUGGAGCGGCCGAUGGCGGAUUAGCUAGUUGGUGGGGUAAAGGCCUACCAAGGCGACGAUCCGUAGCGGGUCUGAGAGGACGGCCCGCCACACUGGAACUGAGAAACGGUCCAGACUCCUACGGGAGGAAGCAGUGGGGAAUUUUGGACAAUGGGCGAAAGCCUGAUCCAGCCAUUCCGCGUGAGUGAAGAAGGCCUUCGGGUUGUAAAGCUCUUUCGGCAGGGAAGAAACGGCUUGGGAUAAUACCCCGGGCUAAUGACGGUACCUGAAGAAGAAGCACCGGCUAACUACGUGCCAGCCGCCGCCGUAA